rnacentral:rRNA from 1 species
GAUGAACGCUAGCUACAGGCUUAACACAUGCAAGUCGAGGGGCAGCAUGGUCUUAGCUUGCUAAGGCCGAUGGCGACCGGCGCACGGGUGAGUAACACGUAUCCAACCUGCCGUCUACUCUUGGACAGCCUUCUGAAAGGAAGAUUAAUACAAGAUGGCAUCAUGAGUCCACAUGUUCACAUGAUUAAAGGUAUUCCGGUAGACGAUGGGGAUGCGUUCCAUUAGAUAGUAGGCGGGGUAACGGCCCACCUAGUCUUCGAUGGAUAGGGGUUCUGAGAGGAAGGUCCCCCACAUUGGAACUGAGACACGGUCCAAACUCCUACAGGAGGCAGCAGUGAGGAAUAUUGGUCAAUGGGCGAGAGCCUGAACCAGCCAAGUAGCGUGAAGGAUGACUGCCCUAUGGGUUGUAAACUUCUUUUAUAAAGGAAUAAAGUCGGGUAUGCAUACCCGUUUGCAUGUACUUUAUGAAUAAGGAUCGGCUAACUCCGUGCCAGCAGCCACGGUAAUACGGAGGAUCCGAGCGUUAUCCGGAUUUAUUGGGUUUAAAGGGAGCGUAGAUGGAUGUUUAAGUCAGUUGUGAAAGUUUGCGGCUCAACCGUAAAAUUGCAGUUGAUACUGGAUAUCUUGAGUGCAGUUGAGGCAGGCGGAAUUCGUGGUGUAGCGGUGAAAUGCUUAGAUAUCACGAAGAACUCCGAUUGCGAAGGCAGCCUGCUAAGCUGCAACUGACAUUGAGGCUCGAAAGUGUGGGUAUCAAACAGGAUUAGAUACCCUGGUAGUCCACACGGUAAACGAUGAAUACUCGCUGUUUGCGAUAUACAGCAAGCGGCCAAGCGAAAGCGUUAAGUAUUCCACCUGGGGAGUACGCCGGCAACGGUGAAACUCAAAGGAAUUGACGGGGGCCCGCACAAGCGGAGGAACAUGUGGUUUAAUUCGAUGAUACGCGAGGAACCUUACCCGGGCUUAAAUUGCAGAUGAAUUACGGUGAAAGCCGUAAGCCGCAAGGCAUCUGUGAAGGUGCUGCAUGGUUGUCGUCAGCUCGUGCCGUGAGGUGUCGGCUUAAGUGCCAUAACGAGCGCAACCCUUGUUGUCAGUUACUAACAGGUUCUGCUGAGGACUCUGACAAGACUGCCAUCGUAAGAUGUGAGGAAGGUGGGGAUAACGUCAAAUCAGCACGGCCCUUACGUCCGGGGCUACACACGUGUUACAAUGGGGGGUACAGAGGGCCGCUACCACGCGAGUGGAUGCCAAUCCCCAAAACCUCUCUCAGUUCGGACUGGAGUCUGCAACCCGACUCCACGAAGCUGGAUUCGCUAGUAAUCGCGCAUCAGCCACGGCGCGGUGAAUACGUUCCCGGGCCU